GAUGAACGCUGGCGGCGUGCCUAAUACAUGCAAGUCGAACGGGAGACCUGGUUUCGACCGGGUUGAGAGUGGCGCACGGGUGAGGAACACAUGGCUGACCUGCCCUUCAGAGGGGGAUAACGGCUGGAAACGGCUGCUAAUACCCCAUACGCUCCUUGGGAUUAGAGGCCUGAGGAGGGAAGCCUUCGGGUGCUGAAGGAGGGGGCUGUGGCCCAUCAGCUUGUUGGUGAGGUAAUGGCUCACCAAGGCGACGACGGGUAGGGGGCCUGAGAGGGUGACCCCCCACACUGGGACUGAGACACGGCCCAGACUCCUACGGGAGGCAGCAGUAAGGGAUCUUGCGACAAUGGGCGAAAGCCUGACGCAGCAACGCCGCGUGCGGGAGGACGGCCUUCGGGUUGUAAACCGCUUUUCGGGGGGAAGAGGAAGGACGGUACCCCCGGAAGAAGUCUCGGCUAACUAC
rnacentral:rRNA from 1 species